CCCAUAUUUUGAGGAAGCUGGGCAUCGAGGGCGAGAUGGAUUCUUGUACCGACCCUUGGAGGGAGUUCUUGGUUGUAGAAGUUCCUGGCACAGGGCACGGUACUUGGGAUACACGUGUGACACAAGACAGCUGGAGACCUUCAGUGACAUACAGCCUACUAGAGGAGCUGCAAAGGAAAUAAGCCACAUGCUUGGCUCCGGACGCGCAGGCUCAGCGGCCAUGGCUCACGGGCCCAGCCG